rnacentral:rRNA from 1 species
ACUCAAAGGAAUAGACGGGGGCCCGCACAAGCGGAGGAACAUGUGGUUUAAUUCGAUGAUACGCGAGGAACCUUACCCGGGCUCGAACGGCAGACGACGUAUACAGAGACGUAUAUUCUCUUCGGAGCGUCUGUCGAGGUGCUGCAUGGUUGUCGUCAGCUCGUGCCGUGAGGUGUCGGCUUAAGUGCCAUAACGAGCGCAACCCUUGUCGAUAGUUGCCAUCGGGUCGUGCCGGGGACUCUAUCGAGACUGCCUCCGUAAGGUGUGAGGAAGGGGGGGAUGACGUCAAAUCAGCACGGCCCUUACGUCCGGGGCGACACACGUGUUACAAUGGUGGUUACAGAGGGCUGCUCCCUGGUGACAGGUUGCCAAUCUCCAAAAGCCAUCUCAGUUCGGAUCGGAGUCUGCAACUCGACUCCGUGAAGUUGGAUUCGCUAGUAAUCGCACAUCAGCCACGGUGCGGUGAAUACGUUCCCGGGCCUUGUACACACCGCCCGU